UACGGGGGGGGCAAGCGUUGUUCGGAAUUAUUGGGCGUAAAGAGCUCGUAGGCGGUGUGUCACGUCGUUCGUGAAAACCUGCAGCUUAACUGUGGGCGUGCGGUCGAUACGGGCAGACUAGAGUUCGGUAGGGGAGACUGGAAUUCCUGGUGUAGCGGUGAAAUGCGCAGAUAUCAGGAAGAACACCCGUGGCGAAAGCGGCUCUCGUGGAACGGUACUGACGCUGAGACGCGAAAGCGUGGGGAGCGAACAGG
rnacentral:rRNA from 1 species